rnacentral:lncRNA from 1 species
UUAUGAGGUCAUCCCUGGCUCCAGCACCUCACAAUCUUUAUGGUGACUGUUCAGAGGGCAGCUAAGCAGAAAAGAAGUUUUCAACAAGGCUGUUUCUGGCCUGUUUUCCCUCUCAGUACUACAUGGCAAGUCACGUCUCCAAACUGAGGAGUGUGCCUGAAGAGUAAGGUCUGGCAGAGAAAGGAUUUAUUGCCCUAGGUUUAAACAAGCAAUCUCGACAUAACUUCCAAAGGCAUCAGCUGCUUGGAAGA